rnacentral:rRNA from 1 species
GAUGAACGCUGGCGGCGUGCCUAAUACAUGCAAGUCGAGCGAACAGACGAGGAGCUUGCUCCUCUGACGUUAGCGGCGGACGGGUGAGUAACACGUGGAUAACCUACCUAUAUGACUGGGAUCACUUCGGGAAACCGGCUCUAAUACCGUAUAAUCUCUUGAACCGCAUGGUUCGAUAGUGAAAGUCGGUGUUGCUGUCACUUAUAGCUGGAUCCGCGCCUCAUUAGCUAGUUGGUAAGGUAACGGCUUACCACGGCAACGAUGCGUAGCCGACCUGAGAGGGGGAUAGGCCACACUAGAACGGAGACACGGUCCAGACGACUAAGAGAGGCACCAGUAGGGAAUCGGACGCAACAGGCGAAAGCCUUGCGGAGCAACGGCACGCGAGUGAUGAAGAUCUUGGGAUCGGAAAGCUCUGUUAUUGGGGAAGAACAGAUGUGGAAGUAACUGAACACGUCUUGACGGUAACUAAUAAGAAAGCAACGGCUAACUACGUG